rnacentral:rRNA from 1 species
AGACACGGCCCAAACUCCUACGGGAGGCAGCAGUGGGGAAUAUUGCACAAUGGGGGAAACCCUGAUGCAGCGACGCCGCGUGAGUGAAGAAGUAUUUCGGUAUGUAAAGCUCUAUCAGCAGGGAAGAAAUACUGACCAUAGGGUCAGCAGACGGUACUUGACUAAGAAGCCCCGGCUAACUACGUGCCAGCAGCCGCGGUAAUACGUAGGGGGCAAGCGUUAUCCGGAUUUACUGGGUGUAAAGGGAGCGUAGACGGCAGCGCAAGUCUGAAGUGAAAUGCCAGGGCUUAACCCUGGAACUGCUUUGGAAACUGUGCAGCUAGAGUGCAGGAGAGGUAAGUGGAAUUUCUAGUGUAGCGGUGAAAUGCGUAGAUAUUAGGAGGAACACCAGUGGCGAAGGCGGCUUACUGGACUGUAACUGACGUUGAGGCUCGAAAGCGUGGGGAGCAAACAGGAUUAGAUACCCUGGUAGUCCACGCUGUAAACGAUGAUUACUAGGUGUUGGG